CGUGAUGAGGGAAAUUCCCAUGGGAAUUUCUCUCUCUCUCUCUCUCUCUCUCUCUCUCUCUCUCUUUUUAAUUCUAGCUCUCUCAGCUCAGUUCCCGGAUCCCACUAGCACUGAGAAGAUUGAUCGGAGGAAUGGAGGCUGUGGAGUAAUCCUUGAGAACAAGCUGUAUGUGUGGGGGCAGCAAUGGUUAAUCAUGUUAUUCAGAGCAGGACAGUGACUCCAGCUCAGACUCUGAUGAGAUUGAUGAUUCAGAAGAAGAAAACAUUGAUCCUAUUAAACUUUGAAAUGAACGAUUGUCACCCUCCCUCAUCCCAACGAUCCGAAUCAUCCUUUUGAUGUUUUAGACCUCUCCACAAACGAAUGGUUUCGGUAAUCGACUAGCGGAGAGUACCCCACCCUUGGCCUUGGCUCCUCCCUUAGUGUUCACCACAUGCACCCCUCACGCACCAUCAUCCUGUUCAGUGGGUUUUAAAAUGUUCUCUUCAAUAUGACAACGAGGUCUGUCCCCUGACAGAGAGUGGGUGUGGGAGAAAGCCAAGCAAACGUUACCUGACUGGAGUGAUCAUCCACAAUGAUCAGAUGUUUGUGUUUGAAGGAGUGGAGAAGGCCAUUCGUGAGAUAGGGGACCCUGCAACCUCAGGACCCAGGGGCUAAGUAUCUCGCCUACGUGGAGAAUAGAGUUGAACCUGACAAUGGAUGUACCAAUGAGUACCUGGAGUUCAGCAUUUACACAAGUGAAUGGGAGGCACCAUUGGACAAAGGUGCAUUUUGACCUGCAUGAUCAGCUAGGAUCUCAUGCAUUCUCCAAGUUUGACAGUCAUCGAGCUGUCCUGUUUGGGGGCAAUGGCUCACUCGUGUGAGCAGACUUGGAUACUAGGGAAUGGAGUGGUCCUGACUCAAUACAAUCCAGACGACCCAGAGGAGCCAUGGCCGAUAGCCACCCAGUUCUCCAGUUCUCCGUCCCGAGAAGGUGUGGUCAAAUCCUAUAGCCAAGGAUUGUACUCCUCUUAGGCAAGAGUAGUAGACUGCACAUCUUACCCGAGAUCUGGUUAUUCAAGUUUUGACAACACCUCAAUAAUAAACCUAAAAAGCAAGUGUAGCAACUUUUUGUCUUAAGCAUAGUUAUUUGUAUAACUAUUGACUACCUCUAACUGCAACUCCUCCCCUCCCCCGGCUGUAGCCAUCAUCUUUGCUACCCUACUACCUCCCCUGCCGAGCUCUAUGAAAAGUGGUAGCUCAGAGUCACAUGUUAAACCUUAUUCUUUGUAGGAACACUGCUCGUCUCUUCUGACAUGAUAACUUGAUUAUUUAUUUAAUAUGAAAUGUUUACUUUGAAGCGAUAAUGAAUUAUUGAAUGAUUGUAA